rnacentral:rRNA from 1 species
AGAGUUUGAUCCUGGCUCAGAUUGAACGCUGGCGGCAGGCCUAACACAUGCAAGUCGAGCGGUAGAGAGAAGCUUGCUUCUCUUGAGAGCGGCGGACGGGUGAGUAAAGCCUAUGAAUCUGCCUGGUAGUGGGGGAUAACGUUCGGAAACGGACGCUAAUACCGCAUACGUCCUACAGGAGAAAGCAGGGGACCUUCGGGCCUUGCGCUAUCACAUGAGACUAGGUCGGAUUAUCUAGUUGGUGGGGUAAAGGCCCACCAAGGCGACGAUCCGUACCUGGUCUGAGAGGAUGAUCACCCACACUGGAACUGACACACCGUCCACACUCCUACCGGAGGCAGCAGCGGGGAAUAUUGGACAAUGGGCGCAAGCCUGAUCCAGCCAUACCGCGUGGGUGAAGAAGGCCUUCGGGUUGUAAAGUCCUUUUGUUGGGAAAGAAAAGCAUGCCGCUAAUACCCGGCUGUUCUGACCGUACCCAAAGAAUGAGCACCGGCUAACUUCGUGCCAGCAGAUCGCUGUAAUACGAAAGGUGCAAGCGUUACUCUGAAUUACUGCGCUUACAGCGCGACUACGAGGCUGAUUAAGUCUGUUGUGAUAGCCCUGGGCUCAACCUGGCAAUGGCUUUGCAUACUGGACGACUACAGUGU